rnacentral:tRNA from 1 species
GCCAGUUCAGGCGUUUGCAGCGGAAUCGGCAUAUCAGCUGAUUCGUAAUCAGCAGGUCGUCCGUUCAAUCGGGAUCGCCGGCUCCA